rnacentral:rRNA from 1 species
AUGGAAUUAAGAUUUCCCAGGUUUAGCCAAGACUUAGCUCAGGACCCCACUACCCGUCGUAUUUGGUUUGGUAUUGCUACCGCACAUGAUUUUGAAAGUCAUGAUGAUAUUACUGAGGAAUGUCUUUAUCAGAACAUUUUUGCUUCUCACUUUGGGCAAUUAGCAAUAAUCUUUCUAUGGACGUCCGGAAAUCUGUUUCAUGUAGCUUGGCAAGGAAAUUUUGAAUCAUGGAUACAAGAUCCUUUACACGUAAGACCUAUUGCUCAUGCGAUUUGGGAUCCUCAUUUUGGUCAACCCGCUGUGGAAGCCUUUACUCGAGGAGGUGUUGCUGGUCCAGUGAAUAUUGCUUAUUCUAGAGUUUAUCAGUGGUGGUGUACAAUAGGAUUACACACCAAUGAGGAUCUUUAUACUAGAGCUCUUUUUCUAUUAUUUCUUUCUACGAUGUCCUUAAUAGCAGGUUCGUUACAUCUACAACCCAAAUGGAAACCAAGCCUUUCGUGGUUCAAAAACGCGGAAUCUCGUCUCAAUCAUCAUUUGUCAGGACUUUUCGGGGUAAGUUCUUUGGCUUGGACAGGACAUUUAGUUCAUGUUGCUAUUCCCGCAUCCGGGGAGUAUGUUUGAUGGAAUAAUUUCUUAGAUGUAUUACCCUAUCCCCAGGGGUUGGGACCCCUUUUGACAGGUCAAUGGAAUCUGUAUGCCCAAAAGUCUGAUUCGAGUAAUCAUUUAUAUGGUACCGCUCAAGGAGUGGGAACUGCCAUUCUAACUCUUCUUGGGGGAUUCCAUCCACAAACACAAAGUAUGUGGUUGACCGAUAUGGCUCACCAUGAUUUAGCUAUUGCAUUUAUUUUUCUCAUUGCCGGUCACAUGUAUCGAAAUAAGUUCGGAAUUGGGCACAGUAUUAAAGAUCUUUCAGAAGCGCAUACUCCUCCGGGGGGUCGAUUAGGGCGUGGGCAGAAGGGACAUUAUGACACAAUCAACAAUUCGAUUCAUUAUCAGUUAGGUCUUGCUCCAGCUUCUUUAGGGGCUAUUACUUCCUUAGUAGCUCAACAUAUGUACUCUUUACCUCCUUAUGCAUUCACAGCACAAGACUUUACUACUCAAGCUGCUUUAUAUACUCAUCACCAAUAUAUUGCAGGGUUCAUCAUGAUAGGGGCUUUUGCUCAUGGAGCUUUUUUUAUUAGGGAUUACAAUCCGGAACAGAAUGAGGAUAAUGUAUUGGCAAGAAUGUUAGACCAUAAAGAAGCUAUCAUGUCUAAUUUAAGUUGGGCUAGCCUCUUUCUAGGAUUCCAUACCUUGGGCCUUUAUGUUCAUAACGACGUCAUGCUUGCUUUUGGUACUCCAGAAAAGAAAAUCUUGAUCGAACCUGUAUUUGCCCAAUGGAUACAAUCUGCUCAUGGCAAUACGACAUAUGGGUUCGAUAUAAUCUUAUCUUCAACGAAUGGCCCCACUUUCAAUGCGGGUCGAAGACUAUGGUUGCCCGGAUGGUUGAAUGCUGUUAAUGAGAAUAGUAAUUUGCUUUUCCUAACAAUAGGACCCGGGGAUUUCUUGGUUCAUCAUGCUAUUGCUCUAGGUUUGCAUACAACUACAUUGAUUUUAGUAAAGGGCGCUUUAGAUGCACGCGGUUCCAAAUUAAUGCCGGAUAAAAAGGAUUUUGGAUAUAGUUUUCCUUGUGACGGCCCAGGGCGCGGCGGUACUUGUGAUAUUUCUGCUUGGGACACAUUUUAUUUGGCAGUUUUAUGGAUGUUAAAUACCACUAGGUGGUGAUUAGUGUACGAUUGAAUCGGGGGCGUCACAUUAUGGCAGGGCACUGUUUCACAAUUUAAUGAAUCCUCCAUUUAUUUGAUGGAAUUGUUAAGAGAUUACCUAUGGUUAAACUCUUCACAACUUAUCAACGGAUAUAGUCCUUUUGGAAUGAAUAGUUUAUCGGUAUGGGUGUGGAUGUUCUUAUUUGGACAUCUUGUUUGGGCUACUCGAUUUAUGUUCUUAAUUUCCUGGCAGGAAUUAAUUGAGACUUUAGCAUGGGCUCAUGAACUCACACCUUUAGCUAAUUUAAUUCGCUGGAGAGAUAAGCCCGUGGAUCUUUCCAUUGUGCAAGCAAGAUUGGUUGGAUUAGCUCACUUUUCCAUGGGUUAUAUAUUCACUUAUGCAACUUUCUUGAUUGCCUCAACAUCAGGCAAGUUUGGUUAA